rnacentral:lncRNA from 1 species
UGGUAUGCUUAUGGAAGCACGAAGCCCUCCAUGCUUCCAAGUUGUGGAAGCACGAAGCUAGAAAAUAAAUUUUGUGAUUUUUCGAUAUCAUUUGCCUAGUGAUUGAAGGGGUUCAAAAUCAAUAAUUUUAAUGGUCGUGGUGAACCGGUUGCAAGUUUAACGGUGUAGAAAUAUCCAAAUCACAUGAAAUUUUGAUAGAAAAUUUUUUAUAAUAUAUAAAAUAAGAUCAAUAAUUUUGAUCUAAAAUUUUAAUGUCAUAUUAUCAUAUUUUAUAAGAUUUUUAUUUUCAGCCGUUGAUUUUGAGCCACUUCGAUCACUAGGCAAAUGAUAUCGAAAAAUCGCAAAAUUUAUUUUCUAGAUAUUUCAAAUACUCUAAAUCAAGUCUAACGGAGCCGAUCGUCGAUUCGAAAGUCCGAACAUCGAAGACAAAGUAGAAGCACGAAGCGCUCUGUGCUUCCAUAAGCAUCCUAGCCGUACUAUAUAUAUAUAUUCGCUAGUGAUCAAUUAUUAUUAUUAGUAUUAUUUUGAGUUUUUUAAAUAAAUUUAGCAGAAAAUAUAAAAUAAUUAGAUUUCCAACUUGAAAUCUUAUUCAUAAAUUGAUAUUAUUAACUUUUCUGGCCUCUGGAAUCAUGGAGCCUACCAUCCUCGUCACAUUAUCCAAA